AUUAUUCCGGUGAAGAGGCAGAGUAAUUAAGGUAGCAGGUUGUAAAGAGAGGAGAGGCCGCGGCUGAGAGCCCUCCCAAUUUGUCUUGAUGAAUGAACACCUCUGAGGAUUUUCUCUGAACGUGUAGAUCAGUAGGAGAUGACGUUAACAGGCGUUAACUGUUUAAAAGUGGAAGCAAGUUCAGUUUGCUUCAAUUAGGGUGGCACCACGGGUAUAUAACUCUCGUCCCUGAU
rnacentral:ncRNA from 1 species